rnacentral:lncRNA from 1 species
CAGCUUGACAAAACCGGAUCGAAGUAGAGGCAGAGUAGGGUUUCAAAGCAGGCAGUGAGAGAGCGGGAAUGCUGUUCAGGAAAUUCUUCAGGCAUGGGCAGGGACUUGGCUGCAGUUGUGCGGCUGGAAAAUCUGACUGGGGCAGCUCCUGAGCGCAGGCAGGGCCUGCUCACAUGGGCGGGCUGAGUGGCCGCCUCCAUCAGAGCCUCUCAGCUUUCCCCAGGACCACGGGGGACUUUUCAUCCGCCACUCUGUGAAACAGACAAGAGAGAUGCCUCAGGAACAGUACUCACACCACAGGAGCACCAUGCCCAGCUCUGAGGGGCCACACAUAUACAAAGUGGGGAUUUACGGCUGGAGGAAAAGAUGCCUGUAUUUCUUUGUCCUACUCCUCAUGAUUUUAAUACUGGUGAACUUGGCCAUGACCAUCUGGAUUCUCAAGGUCAUGAACUUCACAAUUGGUAAUGCCCUAUACUUCAAAUCUGCCAGGAACGUGACAGUGAACAUUCUCAAUGACCAGACAAAAGUGCUGACUCAGCUAGUGACAGGUAAAAAGGCUGUGAAAAUGUACGUUCUCUGUAGGAGCUGAAGGCACAGUCUUCCCCAAAUCCAUAGAAACACCUAAUGUCAGAGCAGACCCCUUCAAGGAACUAAGGUUGGAGUCCCCAACCCGCUCUCUAGUGAUGGAAGCCCCAAAAGGAGUAGAAAUAAAUGCAGAAGCUGGCAAUAUGGAGGCCACCUGCAGAAGUGAGCUGAGACUGGAGUCCAAGGACGGAGAGAUUAAGUUAGAUGCUGCGAAAAUCAAACUACCUAGACUGCCUCGUGGAUCCUACACACCCACAGGAACGAGGCAGAAGGUCUUCGAGGUCUGCGUCUGCGCCAAUGGGAGGUUAUUCCUGUCCCAGGCAGGAACUGGUUCUACUUGUCAGAUAAACACAAGUGUCUGCCUUUGAAAGACUUCCAUAAUGGACAAUUGUCGGCAGCAUAAAGGCCCUUUUUGGCUUGAGACACUGGCUGCCAGCUAUUUUUACUAGAACACAGAAAGCCUAUCAAAGCCCUUGUGUGUGUGUGUGUGUGUGUGUGUGUGUGUGUGUGUAUGAGUGGGUUGUUUGUGAGCGAAUAUAAAUAUAUAUAAAUAUAUAAAUAAAUAUAUAUAUAUCCUCUGUAUAAAAUGAGGUUUCAGUACAAAAGGAACCAUGGGUGACCCUGUGACAUCAUCCACUGUCAUUUUUCUGCCCCAUUCCCAUCAUCGACAUGACAGAAAAGAAGUACUCAUUCAGGCCCAGCAUUCCCUAGGCAAUUUCAAAUCACAGAGUGGAUUGAGCACCCACAAAAUAUCCAUCAAUGUGUUCAGGAAAUCACCUAGCUUCUCUUGUAGAGCCAUUAGAGGCAAUGAUGGCGGGAAUCUUCAGCUCACUCUCAAGUGCUGAUAUACAGGC